CUUCUAACCCCCAAGCACCGAUUCAUUGACUCACCGGACACUGCCGAGGUGAGCAUUGCACGUAAAACCCCGCAUUGGCCGAAGCGACAGCGGUGGGCAGAGGCAACGAUGUGUGUGGAGGCAAAUUCGAGCGAUUUCUGCUUCUAAUCCGUUCCAGAACCUGCAUUCAGCUGCAAUUGUUCCGGCGUUCUCAAGAUUCUUCUCCAAGCCAGCUCCAUACGCGGGUGAAGAAGACCCUCUUUUUACCAUCUCGAUCAUUUCAUAUUAUCUUCCGUCACUGAGCUUCAAUUUCUACUCGUUUGUUCUUUCUGAUGCUAGCUGCUGAAGGGAGGGGAGAUUUUCAGGUUUUAGGGAGUGAGGUUCAUUCUAUUGAGUGUAGACUAAUGAGUAGUUGAAGUGUUUCUGCAUAUUAUCACUGCUUAUAUGAAACUAUUUUGUCUAUAAAGGAUGCAACUUUAUUUGAUUGAUAUACAAUGUCAUGGUGGCUGAGAUAACAGAGGAAGUUAGAAGCGGAAAGACGUGUGGGCGGUGCCCGAUAUGAAUAUUCGAGAAGAGUGGUGGAAUGCGAGUAAAACUUGGAGCUUUUGGCCUGAUAGUUUGUCUUAAGCUUAGUUAAAUUUUUGGUAAUCAUCGUCUUCUGUGACUGGAAUUUGCACUGAUCCGAGCGAGAGUAGAAUGCUGACAUCCUAAUUCGAAGAUCUUAACUUUUGCAUACCGUCCGUAUUGAUGUUGUUUGGAUUUUGUAAAACCUGCUUUCUUUUAUGAUCAGCCAAUAUGCAGUUCUCUCGUAUCUCAUUUCGCAUUGGAUUAGAAAAUGGUCAGCACUCUGAUGCCAAAUUCUAAUUUCUUUUCUCCAUUAUUCUUUUUACGAGUGGGAACUGGGUCUAAUGGGAGCCCCUACUCCGGUUCUGUUUCUACGGUAAAGGUUGGGAUACCCGAGUUCCUGCAGGGCAUAGGUGGGGGAGUGGAAGCCCAUGUUGCCAAGCUCGAAACAGAUAUCGGUGACUUCAGCAAGUUGCUCGUAACACGCACUCACCAGCUGAAGAAACUAGGCAUCCCCUGCAAACAUAGGAAGCUGAUAUCGAAAUAUUCCCACAAAUAUAGACUCGGGCUGUGGAGACCACAUGCUGAGCCAUUGAAAGCAUAAUGAUCUUUAACAGUUGCUGCUCCUCCUUCAGAAAACAUGGAAUGCCAGAGUGCUGUGAUUUCAUAACAGAUUGACCUGUUAAUGCAUGUUCUGGAGCUUGGCUAUCUGUUAAGUUUUGCUUGCUUGAUGGACAAGGGAACAUUGAUAUGGGAUUCGAACGAAGUAAGAGACACAAAUUCACAUAGGAAACAGAAGGAUCGUACAAAGAUACUGGCUCUGUAAUUUUCGUGUCAUAUAGGGGUUGAGUGCAUAAAGGAGCAGGAUGGGCUAUUGAUGUAAGUGUGCACAGGAUUCAGUUCGAUCCAAGACGAGAAGUCGACCAGUACAUUGUGAAACAUUACCUGCUACAACGCGUACAGAUUUACAGUGCCACACUGAUCCUCGCGAAAUAGUACCAAGGAUGCCGGCCUGUUACUCCCACCAGACGUCUAUUCCAUUCUGCAUCUGAUCACAUAACAGAUAUUUCACGUGGGAAACUGUUUCUACGAACAAAAUUAAUUUAGCCCAUCUAACAACAAAAUCCCAGGGACUAUUAUACUAAUUCUAUGCCCGUUGUUAUAUCUUCUCGGCAUCUGCCUUGACUGGCUGUGUCACUGAUCCCAGAGGGUUCUUGCUGUAAAUUUAAUGGUUCACUGUCGUAAAUAAAUGUCUGCUCCUUAUGGUGCUAUUAGCGUUUA